AUUGAACGCUGGUGGCAGGCCUAACACAUGCAAGUCGAGCGGCAGCGGGAAAGUAGCUUGCUACUUUUGCCGGCGAGCGGCGGACGGGUGAGUAAUGCCUGGGAAAUUGCCCAGUCGAGGGGGAUAACAGUUGGAAGCGACUGCUAAUACCGCAUACGCCCUACGGGGGAAAGCAGGGGACCUUCGGGCCUUGCGCGAUUGGAUAUGCCCAGGUGGGAUUAGCUAGUUGGUGAGGUAAUGGCUCACCAAGGCGACGAUCCCUAGCUGGUCUGGGAGGAUGGUCAGCCACACUGGAACUGAGACACGGUCCAGACUCCUACGGGAGGCAGCAGUGGGGAAUAUUGCACAAUGGGGGAAACCCUGAUGCAGCCAUGCCGCGUGUGUGAAGAAGGCCUUCGGGUUGUAAAGCACUUUCAGCGAGGAGGAAAGGUUGUUGGCUAAUAUCCAACAGCUGUGACGUUACUCGCAGAAGAAGCACCGGCUAGCUCCGUGCCAGCAGCCGCUGUAAAAC
rnacentral:rRNA from 1 species